rnacentral:misc_RNA from 1 species
CGGCGGUCCUCAAUCGACCGUCUGCGCUGAACGCGCUCAACACCACAAUGGCGCUUCGGUUGAAGAAGUUGUAUGAGGCCUGGGAGGAUAACUCUGAUAUUGGAUUUGUCAUGAUGAAGGGGCGUGGCAGAGCAUUCUGUGCCGGCGGAGACAUUGUUUCGCUUUAUCGGUCGAUCAAUGAAGGGAAGCUUGAAGAAUGCAAAGAUUUCUUCAGGAGCCUAUAUUUGUUUAUUUACAUUCUAGGCACAUAUUUGAAACCACAUGUGGCUAUUAUGGAUGGCAUCGUCAUGGGGGGUGGCGCAGGAGUUUCAAUUCCUGGAACUUUUCGUGUUGUUACGGAUAGAACUAUAUUUGCUACCCCAGAAACUCAUAUAGGCUUCCACCCUG